AGAAAGCGUAAAUAUAUAAGAAAAAUAACAUUUCCAGGCGAUCCAGGAGGUGUGCCAUAAAUCAAAUGCGGUAGAAAGUGAUAGAAUUGAUUGUCUCUUUUUUGGACAAAUUCUCCAUCUGAGAGCCAGAAAUCAUGGACGAUCGCUAUUAAAUGGUAUGCAUCACCUAUAGAAAGCAUAAAUAUAUAAGAAAAAUAACAUUUUCAGGCGAUCCAGGAGGUGUGCCAUAAAUCAAAUGCGGUAGAAAGUGAUAGAAUUGAUUUUUUCUUUUUUGGACAAAUUUUCCAUCUGAGAGCCAGAAAUCAUGGACGAUCGCUAUGAAGUGGUAUGCAUCGUCUUUAGAAAGCAUAAAUAUGUAAGAAAAAUAUCAUUUCCAGGCGAUCCAGGAUGUGUGCCAUAAAUCAAAUGCGGUAGAAAAUGAUAGAAUUAACUUUCUCUUUUUUGGCCAAAUUCUCCAUCUGAGAGCCAGAAAUCAUGGACGAUCAUUAUGAAGUGGCGAUCCAGGAUGUGUGCUAUAAAUCAAAUGCGGUAGAAAGUGAAAGAAUUGAUUUUUUCUUUUUUGGACAAAUUCUCCAUUUAAGAGCCAGAAAUCAUGGACGAUCGCUUUGAAAUGGCGAUCCAGGAUGUGUGCCAUAAAUCAAAUGCGGUAGAAAGUGAUAGAAUUAACUUUCUCUUUUUUGGACAAAUUCUCUAUCUGAGAGCCAGAAAUCAUGGACGAUCGCUAUG